GUGCACCAGGCGCGAAAACUUUACAAUGUGCGAAAGCACGAUAAGGGAACUCUGAGUGCCUCCUAAGGAGGCUGUUCAGGUGUCUAAAAAGCACCUGAAGGAAGGGCUGGGUAAGACCGGUGCCAGCCGCCGCGGUAACACCGGCAGGCCCAAGUGGUAGCCACGUUUAUUGGGUCUAAAGCGUCCGUAGCCGGCUGGGUAAGUUCCUUGGGAAAUUUGGCUGUCUUAACAGUCAAGCUUUCAGGGAAUACUGCCCGGCUUGGGACCGGGGAGAGGUCAGAGGUACUCCAGGGGUAGGGGUGAAAAUCCAUUAAUCCUUGGGGGACCACCGGUAGCGAAGGCGUCUGACCAGACCGGGUCCGACGGUGAGGGACGAAGG
rnacentral:rRNA from 1 species